AACACGUUAUACAAGAAUGUAAUAACCCUUUCCAUCGCGCAUGGCUUCAGAAAUUACCUCAGUCAUCUAACAUGGCGAUUUGCGAAGGGAACUCGCUUGCAGAAGUCAUCCUUUCGAUAAUUUUUGAACGAGUAAUACGUAAAUAUACAAGACUAAACGAAGAUGAAAGCAGUUCCAAGAGCCCAGAAGUAUUGCAGAGGAGCCUAGUUGACCGCUAUCUGAAUUAUAAUUACGUUCAAAGAAGAUACAUGGAUUUCUACGUUCAACGUGAUAAUUAAACAUUCGACAUCCGAAAUGAAACACAUCAAACGAUAUGUCCUAUGUGGAUAAGACAAAUAUCCGACCGUCAACCAGAUUAGGAAAUGAAAACGUUUUUCUCUUCAGUCUUAUUUUUAAAUGAGAUUUUAUCAUGGCGACCAGAGUAUUUUCAUCGAUGAGUGAGGUAUUAUGUCUCUUACCUUAAGCUAUUUUAAUGGUAUUAUGUUCAUAUAAAUCAAGAAUCCUUAUAAUUUUCAACUGCUGUAAUAAAGAAUAUUCGAUAUAGGAAACAAGAUGCUUGGUGAAGGAGAGGAGAUGGUAAAAACGGCGGAGGUAGCUGAUGCUGCUUACGAAUUUAUUACAAAUCUUGCCAAUAAUCUGAAACUCAAGUUGGUGAGAGAGGCACCUUACUAUCUGGUGUAUGAAAACAACAUGUUUCUAUUGCUAGAACAUUACUAUAGCAACCAUCUACUACAAUAUUGAAUUUUAAUAAAGGAGCACAUUGGAUGGUGAAUACAGAAGAGUGGUUUACAAAGCAGUUGGAAAUUCUAAGCGAGGCAGAAACAUCGUUAGCUAUUGUUCAUGUAUGCAUUAUGUGAUUGGGAAUACAUAGGAAAAAGAAAAGGAAGAAAAAACAUUUGUCCUUGACGACGAAAUUUGGAAAAGUCAAUAUGGUGCUGUCUUAUAAAGCGUGGGACGGUGAUACGAGGAGGUGGGAGGGAUUUACUUCAUUCAAAGGUUCCAACCGCGAGCGGCUUUAGCUGGAGUGUCUAUGCGUUUCUACUGAGAAUGAUUUGUCGAAGGGCCGUUCGACGUUGCAUGCAUUAGAAGAGUCAAACGGAACAAAUACAUUUAUAAGAGAAUAUUUUCAAAGAAUCCUACGUCAAAAACAUAUUCAUCAUCUAUUAUGGAAUGUCAAGCAAUUGACUUUCGAAGUUGUUCACCAGUGUUAUCAUCUAAAAAGGUUGUUAUUUAAUAUUUUUAGUUCCUUGUUACAGUUUUUAGGCAAUGACAUGCCGCUUUAUAUUAUAGCUCGAAUUUAAAAAAAGGAAGAAAAGAAAAAUACAUAUCCAUAUAUCUUAUGUGCGGACACUGAAUUAUAUAAUAUCGAUCGGCGGUAUUUUACUAUGUACAAUUACCGACGGUUUCCAAAACAUAUUUGGUAUUUCUAAGCUGUAGUAAUAAUCAACGUGCUGGGUUCGAAAGGAAGGCAUUUCCUUUUCAAACGUGAUCCGCAUAAUUAUGUUCCAUAGCGUCUUCAUUACGUGGUUGCAAUUAACAAGGAAGAAGAGGACGAAGAGGAGGAAGAGGACAAACAUUUAUAAUGGUGUUCACGACGAUCCUCAUGGUAUUGCCUCAAGGUAAUCCUCAAUUAAAAUAGUGCUGUAUUACAAAGCUUCAUUCAUAUGGUGGUACGAGGAUACGGAAUAUACGUUAUUGAAAGGAUUCAAAGUAAGUGGCUUUAGAUAGAGGAUAUAAUGGAGUGUUAUGGGAAAGAUUCAUCGUAGGGUUGUUUGUCGUUGCAAAGGGAAUCUGGAUUCAAAUGGAACUGAAAUGGUACUCAGGCAGCUUUAUCAUUGAAAAUGAUCAAAGCUGCAUAUACGAUCAAAGUAUUCAUUGUUCUUCGGGAUAAUAACGUUAGCCUGGACACGCUUUUAAAUUAUGCGUUAAUAUGUAGUGUACGUUUAUCUCACCGUGUCAUCGUUAUACCGUCAGUUUAUAUUAUUAUUCAAUAUAAUUAAAAAGAGAAGAAGUGUUUGGUUCAAUGUUCCAAAUUAUUUGUCAGAAUAUUCACGUCAUGUACUUAAAAAUAAUGUAUAAUGUACGUUUUUCAGAAAUAUAGGUAUUUGGACGAACUAAAUUAUUACGUAGCGCAAAUAUCUUACGAUUGAGAUUUAAUGAAAAUGCAUGCAUACGUUACGUUCUUCCAUACGUAUCGUCGUGUACGUUCGUGUUAAACAAUUUGUUAUUAUCUUUCUCCACACACUUACGCUCUUAUAUUCUCUCAUCCGCGCUAGGGCAUGUACGCGGGAAUAUGUCCGCGGUUCUGUGGGUGUGCGUGCGUAUAUCUCCUCGCUUAUUUUGACGAAAGGUAUUUUUUCAAAAGAAGAAAGAUAUUUUGUCCUUCGUUCUCCUGUCAUUAAACUAAGCAGGCAAUGCGAUAAUACGAUUAGCAGUGUAUUUCAAUUAGCUAUUUAGCUGCAUUAAUUAAUUAGCAGAUCGAUGUACCACAACUAAUUUAGUUCUUUCAUACGAAGAAAUACUUUUUCCGAAAAAUUAAUUCCCGAUAGGAAAAUUUCAAAGAACGAUCCACUUAUACUGCCAAUUAUCUAAUAUAUCAUAUAUUCCAAACUAAUUAGUUCCUCGGAAAAUGUUAUCUUAAUCGAUUCGUUUAUUUCUCAUUACGUAUAACCCAGUAUAGCAACGACAUACUUAUAUAUCUAGUAACAUAAUAUUUCUAAUUUAUUCAGCAUUUUCCUAAUGUUUUACUCGGAUGAUUAAAUAUCUCGAUAAGCGUACAUAUAAUAAACAUUUACAUAAUAUUUCCCUAACAUAGUAAAGAUCUAUUAUACUUCUUUCUAGCCAUCGUUAUUCGGUCAACCGAUUUACAUCGCACAAAUCAUCAGUUAUAAAUAUUGUAGGAAGAGAUUUUCCCAGAGAUUACUAUUCCUUUUAAAUACAAUAUUCUGAAUUCUACUUUCUUGGUAAUGUCAACAUUCUCUUCGCACAAAAUAAAUAAAUAUGAAUAAUUAAAUGCCAAAAAAAUUUUCCUCAUCGGAAAGUGGAUAAACGCAAUUCGAUUUUUACAUCGUGAAAUGAUCGAAAAGAUAUGAGUAUGGAGAAUCACAUGGGGAAUCAAAUGGAGAAAAAAGAAUCAAGAAGAAAAAACAGAGAUAAAAGCAAACAGAAAUCUUCCUUUUACGCUAAUAUCGAUCCAGAACUGUUGGUAACAUUGUGAAGAGAUAAUUGGGGAUCGUGAAAAUAUGAAAAAGAGGGGAUUAAACGAAACAGCGCAUGCUCGAGUCAAUAUAAAAGAUGUUAGGAGCUGUCCGCGGAAGUUGAAUAAACUAUUUAUUCUGUUUCGAAUCAUCCUACAAGCAUCUUCCUGGAGGUUUCAAGAGAGGGACGAAUUAGAAUAAUAUGUAAGUUCCUGUCCAUCGCGAUAAUGUUACUUAUCUGGAAGAUUAUAAAAAACGCGCUAUCGGUUAGUGAAAUCCUAUUUGAAUUUUAUGCUACUUGAUAUUAACGCAUUAUACUAUAUUUUAUACAAUUUUGUGUUCAAUACUACGAUAUACCGUUUUAUAAUAUACUAUAGAAAGUUGUAUAGUUUAUCAUUUUCUUGCACUAUAUAUUAUAUCUAGUAAUUUGUCUUGGGUAUAUUAUUGUAUAAUAUUAACCAGAGGAAAUAUUAUAAUUUGCGUUAUUUGAACUAAAGCUUAGUGAAUUGUUUGGAAUAAUAUAAAUAUCCCUUGGAAUGUUAAUAUUUGAGUCUCCUUUUCUAAUUAUCGGCUUGUAAAACUGUGUUUCGAUCUAUCAAUCGUAAUGCGUUAUUAAGUACUAUUUGUUUUCUUACAGAUAGUCCUGCAAGGCGUAAUUAUUAAUCGAGUUAAAACUAUUUGUGCUAGUACUUGGUAAGUUCAUUACAUUCUGUUAAAAAUUAGUUUAUAUAUUUUCUCUUUUCUUUUGAAUGAAAUUUAUGAAUGAAAUUUUCUCUAUUCUUUUCAGAUGGUAGACUGAUUCGAUAUAUACGUAAAUACAUGCAUAUAUAUACACACAUAUAUAUAUAUUUCACCGCACUGUGUACUUUGUAUGUACUAAAGUCUAAUGUUCAUGUUUAUAUUUAUUUAUAUAUUUGCCUAUAAACUGAUAUACUCUUUAUAUAUUUCUGAGAAUCAUAUGGAUAUAGAUAAAUGUAUAAAUAAAUAAGCUCAUAAUUUGCCUUCAAUACGUAUAACAUAAGCAGUGCGUUGUAAAAUAUAUAUACAUAUAUGUAUGUAUAUAUAUAUAGACGUAUGUGUAUACAUAUAUGUCAUACGAAUAUCAGUAAACCACGGAUGUAAAAUUAAAAAGAAAAUUGAAAAAUAAGUCAAAAUAAAAAAUGAAGUUAAUAUUAAAGAAAAAAAGAGACAUCGAGAAAAGAAGCAAGCUUAUAUGUAUUAGAAAACUCUGAAGUGUGUUUAACAGAAUAAAAUAUCAAGAGGAUAGAAAUAUACACGUCCAGGAGAGUCGAGCACAUAAUUCAAGGAACCAUUAAAGAGGAAUAUUAAUGGCUACGACGAGUAUAUUCUAUUCCUGGCAAUCUGCUAGGAGUUCCUCCACCAGACUGCCUCGUCGGAUGACCGAGCUGAUCUGCAAGGCAGGGCUAGAUGGUAGGAGCCAUUACAUUUUAUGCAAGGUAAUCAAUACUGCGUACUACGCAACAGAAAGAACCGAAAUGUCGUGGGACUGAAGGAAGUAAAUGUCACUAUGAACUCGCAUUAACUGGACAAAUUAUUUUCUUUUUUUGUUUCUGGUUUCUUUUUCAUUCCUGUUCUUUACAAUUUACAAUUUUGAAAUUGACUAAAGAAUAUUUAUAAUCGACUAUUAUUAUUUUUCCCAUUUUUAUCGUUUAAAAUAUUUAGAAAUAAAUGUUAAUAUCGAGCAAGAAAUAUUGCUUGAAAAUUUGUUUCUUAAUAUUACUAAUUCUCUUUGCGUUAUUUAAGUUAACAAGCUUCUCUCUUUCUUUAUUACACAGUGCCAAAAAAUAUGGAUUCAGAGAAAAUCAUUCGCUAUAUUUAUUUCCCUUUUCGCGUAAUUCAUUUGAAUGGUCUUUACGCAGUUCAAUCGACACUUCCUAUUCCGCGGUCGAAAGAACUGAAUAUGAUGUGAGUGGGGAGAAACGGAUUUGUCCACCAAUCCCUUUUAAGCCGACUUACUGUUGCCCUUUGCUGUUAACUACCAUAUGAAAUAAUCCACAUUGCAUAAAUGCAUAUUGUAAUAACGCUUUCGCUUCAAUUAAUUCAUCGCGCCCUAUUAAUGGUUAAUAUUAAAUGAAAAGGAAUUAAUUUUAUUGUUGAAAUUUUCUCAUAAUUCGAAUAUCUUGUGAACGUUAUUACCCACACUUGGAAUUUCCAUUUGUCAAACGUCGACCAAAAAUUUUAUUUAUUCAAAUAAUAUUCUUUUCAAUUUCUCUUUGCAUAAUAAAAAUUAUAUAAUCGGCGAAGUGAUCAACAUGAAAAGUAUCUAAUCGUCCUUAGAAAUUUUCAAUUUUUCCUUAAAAUUCAUCGACAGUGACAUGAUACUUUACAUUACACGUCGAAUUUUAAAAAAUGAGAAAAAAGUACAAAUCUAUAUAUCUCAUGCAUGGAGAACACACAUUGUAUUAUGCGUAAUCGGUCGGUGAUAUUGCAUUAUCUAAAAUUAUCGACGUCUUCCAAAACUCUUCUAGUGCUUCUAGGGAAUACUAUAUAUCAUCGUACUGGAAUCAAUAGCAAGGCAUUUCCUUUUGAAACAUGGACCUUGUCUCUAACUUAUCCGUAUUAUUUUGUUCUAUACCUUAUUCGUCAGGUGUUUGAAAUUAAACAAACAAAAAAUAGGAAGAAAAAAUUUAUAUUGGCUUUGAUAACGAAUGUUCUCGAAAUCGAUAUAGUACUGUUUUACUAUGCUGCUUUCGAAUGGUGGUACGGGACUAGGGAAUCAUCCCUUCAAAGGAUCGAUAGGGAAGCGGCUUCAGUAAGAGGAUAGAAUCGAUUGCGUUGGGAAAGGUUUAUCGAAGGAACGUCCAACUGUUCAUACGGAUCAUGGGUCAAAGUUGAAUUUUUGCUCUAAUGAGGGAACAUUCCUUCGUAGAAAAAUUAGGGACGAUAAGGAAAACCUUAGGGCGAUUAAUAGUGAUUCCGAAAAAGAAGUUCUGCGAAUCAAUAUUGAAGAAGAAGAAGAAGAGGAUGAAGAUGAAGAAGGAGAUACAGGGGAUGAAGUAGUAGAGGUAUGUUUUAAUAGGAAUUUAAUGAAAAUGCAUCUGCGUAUAACGAUCUCCCCUACGUAUCGUCAAGUACCUUCGUAUUAAAGGAUUUGGUACUAUUUCUGUCCGUCCGUGUGUGCUCUUAUGCGCGCUUGAAUGCGCCAGUUCGAGCCGAGGGAAAUGAGUGUGCGGUCCUGUGAGCGCACAUUUCCUAUCUGAUUUUGCAAAUUGGAAAGAUACGAGAGGAAUCAUAGGCACACACGCCCAUAGCAUCGCCCAAUCAUCCCAUCUGCUUUAAUACGAUCCCGCACGCGCAAAAGUACGCACACGGAUGGAGAGAGACCAUAAUAAUUGUACAGUAUGAAGAAAUAUACUAAACUAACCGAAGACGAAAGCAGUUCCAAUAGCUUGGAUGUAUUGCAAAGGAGCCGAACUGACUUAUAUUUGAAUUGUAAUUCCAAAGAAGAACAACGCUCCACCAGAUAAUAAAACAUUGCACAUCCAAAGUGAAACACAUUUCCGUUGACACUUUCUGUUCCUCCGUACAUCCGACGAUACGUCUUACAUGGAUAGUACAAAUGCCAGACCAUCAACGAGAUUAAUAUAUGGAAACAUUUUCCUUUUUACAUUUAUGUUUAAAUGGAAAAUCAAUCAAUGCUGUGUUUAUUUAAUGGUAAGAUAUUUUAGAGAUUAUAUGCAGCCGAAGAAAGUAUUAUUAUUUAUAAGUGAAUUUAUCUCAAAUAUUCUAAAUGGUAUGAAUCCCAAAUUGGAGUAAUUAUCCGGUAACUUCUAUAAUAUGGAAAUGGUAUUUUCUAAUAAAUCUUAUACAAAUAUAGUGCUAAAUUUAAAGAAUAUUAAUGGAAUAAUAGAAUGAUUAGUGAUAAAGAUGUUUCAAUCGUUUCUAUUAUUUGUAAAGCUGUUGUUUGGCACGUAUGAUAGCUAGGGAUUAUUUAUCGUAUGAGACACACUUGCGUAUUACUGGGUCGAAAAUCACGGAAGGAAUGACUUACCCUAGUUAAAUUGGUCACGUCAUAACGAUAGAAGACCAAGCUUCCUAGAAUCUAAUUCCCUAACUAGAACGCAUGGGGAUAAAUAAUUUCCCCUCUCCUAUAGUUAUGUAAUUAUAUAUAUAUACUCUAUAUAUAUAUAUAUCUAUCGUUCACGCGAAAUUAUCUGUGUAAUAUAUCUUGGAAUUUCCUAAUGAGAAUCUUACAAUAAUUCGUCUAUCUUUUAAUUGAAAUAAUCAUAUAAAACUGUAAUUAUUUAUAAUAUAGUUAACUAUUAUAAUAAUAAUUAUUGUAAUUAUUAAGACUAAUUCCUAUGAAAUUAAUCGGAAAUUCAUAUAGGAAAUUCGCACUGUUACUUCUUUCGUAAGUCUACCUUAUACUUACUAGUUAUAUUUAAUAGAUUAAAUGUUUAUUUAUUGGAAAAGAGAUUGGAUUACAAUCUCGCUAAGUAGAUACAUGUCGAAGAACUUUAAACGGAAACGAAAGUAGUUAAUUUUCUUACCGUAAAUAAGAAAUUAUGCUUCGAAGAAAAUGUACAUUGGAUUAAAUUUUUUUCGAAUUUAAGUUUACCGUAAUAUAUCGAAGUAAAGAACGAACAUUUUCUUAUAAAUACAAAUACAUGGCAGUAUACACUCCUUAUAUAAGGAUUAUAUGGAAAUUUAUCUCAGUUAGCUGUAAUACUACAUUUAUAUACACAUACUAUGUGUGCUUAAUGAGUACCUUAACUUCAUAAUACAUAUCACAAUACUUUCGCUAUAAUUUGAUUUUUUUCAAUCGUAUAACUACCGAAAAUAAAUAAGAUGAGGCCUUUUAAAUGCUACAGCAACUAUUCCUAAACCCAACAAAAUAAUAAUUAAAAUGCUAUGAAUCAAGAGAAUCAAUUUCAUUUCUAUGAUAUAGAAAUGAAAUUUUCUACUGAAUCUAAUCGUGUUUAAACCGUUUGUAUUAUUUGUAAAGCUGUUCUUUGGUACGUAUGACAACUAGGGAUUAUUUCGGGUAUGAGACACACUUGCGUAUUACUGGGUCGAAAAUCACGGAAGGAAUGACUUACCCUAGUUAAAUUGGUCACGUCAUAACGAUAGAAGACCAAGCUUCCUAGAUUCUAAUUCUCUAACUAGAACGCAUGGGGAUAAAUAUUUCCCCUCUCCUAUAGUUACGUAAUUAUAUUUGUAUCUUUAUGUAAAUAUUAUACUCUAUGUCUCGUUA